rnacentral:rRNA from 1 species
CCUACGGGAGACAGCAGUAGGGAAUAUUGCUCAAUGGGGGAAAGCCUGAAGCAGCAACGCCGCGUGAAGGAUGAAGGUUUUCGGAUUGUAAACUCCUUUUGUUAGAGAAGAUAAUUACGGUAUCUAACGAAUAAGCACCGGCAAACUCCGUGCCAGCAGCCGCGGUAAUACGGAGGGUGCAAGCGUAACUCGGAAUCACUGGGCGUAAGGAGCGCGUAGGCGGGAUAGCAAGUCAGAUGUGAAAUCCUAUGGCUUAACCAUAGAACUGCAUUUGAAACUGUUAUUCUAGAGUAUGGGAGAGGUAGGUGGAAUGCGUGGUGUAGGGGUAAAAUGCGUAGAGAUCAAGAGGAAUACUCAUUGCGAAGGCGACCUACUAGAACAUAACUGACGCUGAUGCGCGAAAGCGUGGGGAGCAAACAGGAUUAGAUACCCUAGUAGUC